CCUAGAUUGAUCAGAGGACAAACUACAGGUCCCACAGGAUUGUGGAUGAAAUGCUACAGAUUCUGGGUGAAGUGGUUGAGGAGCCCAUUUUAGAGGCCAUUAAAUCAUCAAAGGCUAUUGGCCUGGAAAUUGAUGAGUCCACAGACAUCUCUGUGACAAAACAGUUAGAUCUCCAUGUCAGGUACACAGACAAGGAAGGACGGAUGUUCUGUCAAUUCCUGGAUCUUGUAUCUAUUCCAGAUGGCACAGCUAUAACUAUAGCUGAAGCUGUGAAGGAGGUCAUCAUAAGAAAAGAAAUACCUCAGGACCGCAUCUUUGGCCUUGGCACAGAUGGAGCCGCAGUGAUGACCGGAAGAAGGAACGGCACAGCAAAAUUGCUGACUGACUCCUGGCCAGGAUUAGUGUCAGUGCACUGUGCUGCUCAUCGCCUUGC